rnacentral:lncRNA from 1 species
CGGAAAGCCCACCCCAAGGGAACAAUCAGGGAAGAAGGAACGCAAGACGGUGGAAGCAUGCCAACCUAUUAAACCGCAAGUCAGAGAUCAAACCAUGUACUUGAAUCUCUCAAGUUCCCGGCUUAACCCUCUUCCAAGUAUCCUCAUUUGAAAAUGGAAAAAGAAAAGAAAUGGAGGCAUUGUGUGAUAUUUGCCUAAAUAUAACUAAAGAGAUCCAUUUAUUUUUAGUGUUUGAUUAAAAACCCUCAAAGGAAAAGAGAAAUUUUGAUCUUUGAGAAGAGCUGUUUCAUCACAGGGUGAGCGUUCUUUAUUCUUCCUUGCCAUUUAAGAGUUUAAAAGGUUGGGAAAGAGAGCUUUCCUUUUUCUGUUUUCCCACUCUCUAGGGUUCUUAUGGGUUAACUCCUCCUCCUUCUUUCCAGAUGCCACCAGGACCCAUUUCUGGCAACAGGGAGCACGAAAUGAUGCCUCCAAGUGUAAGAUAGAGGCUUCUAGGCAGGAAGUGAUGGAAAAGGGCU